UUAUUCUGACAUAUAAAAUGACUGAGAAAUAACUGUCUGUUUCUCAAUGUAAGUCAAUGGGACUUUGGCCUUUUUGCAACCCAGUGGUACUUCCUAUAUGGAACAUCUGAUUUUAUAAUUUUGUUAGUUUACUGCUUAAGUUAUGUUCUGUCAUGUUCAGUUGUUCAAUAAAAAACAAAACAACAAAAAAAAACACGGAAGUAGGGGGGCUUGCUCUGUCCAGUUAUUCUUAUAAACAGUCUAUGGGUGAAACUAGGGGUGUAAGGGAUAAUCUGUGGUCCGUUAGCCGGUUCAGGACACACGUGUACCAAGAACUCAUAUAUGUCUGUGUACAAAGUUGACUUCAAUAAUAUAUUUACUGAUGAUCAUCUUCAAGGAACAUCCUGUUGAACUCUAUGAAGUCAAAUGUGGAUCAGAUAUGUGAGAAUUGUUGUUCAAAAUAACUGUUCAUAAUCUUCAUUCUAUGUUCCACUCAUGUUCAUGAGAAACCAUUAAAGCCAUCAAUAAAAACGUUUCAGGACUUCUUUUUAAUGUUUUUUGUUUUAAUUCCAAAUGUGUCCCACCUGCAGUGGCUUCUGGGUAAUUAGAGUUUGAUACACCAGACCUUGUCUGGUUUAGGACGUGUUGAUGGUGUAGCUUUUUAAAGCGGAGUGCUUCCUGUCACCUUAGCCCUGCCUUAUGGACAUUCAUCUCACAGGGUUGAUCUGCAGCAGGUGAGCAUAAUUCAGGGGCUGGGAAAGUCUUUAAGGAGGACAGCUGUUGGGCCAGAGACGAUCGCUUUAUAACAUCUGCAGCCGUCUUCUUGAGAUUUGAAACACCUUCCUGCUCCUUUGUGUUACAGAUAAACCUCCAAAUCUCACAAAAAAAGCCAACAACAAAAAAAAAAAACAACAAUCUGACAAAAGAAA